rnacentral:tRNA from 1 species
CAGGACAUAGCUAAGAAGUAAAGCACCUCACUUACACCGAGAUAACGUCCGUGCAAAUCGGACUGCCCUGA